GUAGGUGGCAAGCGUUGUCCGGAAUUAUUGGGCGUAAAGCGCGCGCAGGCGGUUCUUUAAGUCUGAUGUGAAAGCCCACGGCUCAACCGUGGAGGGUCAUUGGAAACUGGAGAACUUGAGUACAGAAGAGGAAAGCGGAAUUCCACGUGUAGCGGUGAAAUGCGUAGAGAUGUGGAGGAACACCAGUGGCGAAGGCGGCUUUCUGGUCUGUAACUGACGCUGAGGCGCGAAAGCGUGGGGAGCAAACAGGGAUUAGAUACCCCGGUAGUCCACGCCGUAAACGAUGAGUGCUAAGUGUUAGGGGGGUUUCCCGCCCCCUUAGUGCUGCAGCUAACGCAUUAAGCACUCCGCCUGGGGAGUACGGCCCGCAAGGCUG
rnacentral:rRNA from 1 species